rnacentral:rRNA from 1 species
CUCGUAGUUGGAUUUCUGGUGGAGCGACCGGUCACACACUCUGUGUGUGAACUUGUGUUGUCUCUGGCCAUCCCCGGGGAGAUCCUGUUUGGCAUUAAGUUGUCUGGCAGGGGAUACCCGUCGUUUACUGUGAAAAAAUUAUAGUGUUUAAAGCAGGCUUAUGCCGAUUAAUAUAUCCUUAUGGAAUAACAAGAUAGCACGUCGGAACUAUAUUGUUGGUUUGCCUUCCCAAUUAGUGAUGAACAGGGACGUAUGGGGGUAUCCGUAUUUCAUUGUCAAAGGUGAAGUUCUGGGAUUUCCUAAAAAAGAAAUACUGCGAAAGCGUUUCCCAAGGAUGUGUUCGUUAAUCGCGAACGAAUGUCCCGGGAUCGAAAAUGAUUAGAUACCACCAUAAUCUUAACCGUAAGCUAUGCCCACGCGGGAUCGGCCGCCGUUUUAUGACGCCCUCCGCACCGUAGGACAAAUCAAAGUCAUU